CAGCGGGAAGCAGUCCCGCCAGGGUAAGAGUCAGGACCCUGUAGCCUGGAUAGUCGGGAGGAAGGAAACCGAAUCCUGAAACCUAUCGACGAAGCCAUAGAAAGGAUGGUGAGCGAGUCAUCGGGCCGCAACGAGU
rnacentral:ncRNA from 1 species